AGUGCUCCCUCAGUCCCUGGAGUUCCCAGCCAAGCCACAGACCUGCCUCUGAGGAAGGGAAUCGAGCAGGGAGUAGGAGGGGACCUCUGGGGACUCGGGCCUGGAGCUCCUGCCUGCCUGGAUGAAGAGGAGGUCAAGACUUUGUCCCCCACUCCCCAAGAUACCCUCUCUGUUCCGGAUCGGUGGGUCCCUCCCCUGUUAGGACCUUGUCUCCCUCAGGACUGGACCUGGAUCCUGGGCCUGCAGUCAGAUUGCCAGUUUCACUUAGAGGUGGAAAUGUCAACCCACUGGUUGGAAUGGGAAGAUGAGACGGGAUUUCACCAUGUUAGCCAGGAUGGUCUUGAUCUCCUGACCUCAUGAUCUGCCCACCUCGGCCUCCCAAAGUGCUGGGCUUACAGGCGUGAGCCACCGUGCCCGGCCAAAAAUAACUUUUAAAAACAUGAGUAUAGCAUACACACACACAAAAGUCCACAAAUCCUAAGUGUACCACUUGAUGAAUGAUCCCAACAUGAGCACACCUCUGGAUUACCACC
rnacentral:antisense_RNA from 1 species